rnacentral:rRNA from 1 species
GACGGAGGGUGCUAGCGUUGUUCGGAAUGACUGGGCGUAAAGGGCGCGUAGGCGGCCGCUUGCGUCGGAUGUGAAAGCCCGGGGCUCAACCCCGGAACGGCAUCCGAUACAGGGCGGCUCGAGACCGAGAGAGGUGAGUGGAAUACCCAGUGUAGAGGUGAAAUUCGUAGAUAUUGGGUGGAACACCGGUGGCGAAGGCGGCAUCCUGGACCAACACUGACGCUGAGGAGCGAAAGCCAGGGGAGCAAACGGG